rnacentral:rRNA from 4 species
GGUUAAGCGACUAAGCGUACACGGUGGAUGCCCUGGCAGUCAGAGGCGAUGAAGGACGUGCUAAUCUGCGAUAAGCGCCGGUAAGGUGAUAUGAACCGUUAUAACCGGCGAUUUCCGAAUGGGGAAACCCAGUGUGAUUCGUCACACUAUCAUUAACUGAAUCCAUAGGUUAAUGAGGCGAACCGGGGGAACUGAAACAUCUAAGUACCCCGAGGAAAAGAAAUCAACCGAGAUUCCCCCAGUAGCGGCGAGCGAACGGGGAGGAGCCCAGAGCCUGAAUCAGCAUGUGUGUUAGUGGAAGCGUCUGGAAAGGUGCGCGAUACAGGGUGACAGCCCCGUACACAAAAGCGCAUGUGCUGUGAGCUCGAUGAGUAGGGCGGGACACGUGGUAUCCUGUCUGAAUAUGGGGGGACCAUCCUCCAAGGCUAAAUACUCCUGACUGACCGAUAGUGAACCAGUACCGUGAGGGAAAGGCGAAAAGAACCCCGGCGAGGGGAGUGAAAAAGAACCUGAAACCGUGUACGUACAAGCAGUGGGAGCACAGGUUUACCUGUGUGACUGCGUACCUUUUGUAUAAUGGGUCAGCGACUUAUAUUCUGUAGCAAGGUUAACCGUAUAGGGGAGCCGUAGGGAAACCGAGUCUUAACCGGGCGUUAAGUUGCAGGGUAUAGACCCGAAACCCGGUGAUCUAGCCAUGGGCAGGUUGAAGGUUGGGUAACACUAACUGGAGGACCGAACCGACUAAUGUUGAAAAAUUAGCGGAUGACCUGUGGCUGGGGGUGAAAGGCCAAUCAAACCGGGAGAUAGCUGGUUCUCCCCGAAAGCUAUUUAGGUAGCGCCUCGUGAAUUCAUCUCCGGGGGUAGAGCACUGUUUCGGCUAGGGGGCCAUCCCGGCUUACCAACCCGAUGCAAACUGCGAAUACCGGAGAAUGUUAUCACGGGAGACACACGGCGGGUGCUAACGUCCGUCGUGAAGAGGGAAACAACCCAGACCGCCAGCUAAGGUCCCAAAGUCAUGGUUAAGUGGGAAACGAUGUGGGAAGGCCCAGACAGCCAGGAUGUUGGCUUAGAAGCAGCCAUCAUUUAAAGAAAGCGUAAUAGCUCACUGGUCGAGUCGGCCUGCGCGGAAGAUGUAACGGGGCUAAACCAUGCACCGAAGCUGCGGCAGCGAACGUAUCACUUAAAGCGAUUCAGCGGGUUACGAUUGACGGAGCGAAGCGACGUCAAAGCGUAUACAAAGUCGAGUCGGUUUAAGGAUACGUUCGUUGGGUAGGGGAGCGUUCUGUAAGCCCGUGAAGGUGGCCUGUGAGGGUUGCUGGAGGUAUCAGAAGUGCGAAUGCUGACAUAAGUAACGAUAAAGCGGGUGAAAAGCCCGCUCGCCGGAAGACCAAGGGUUCCUGUCCAACGUUAAUCGGGGCAGGGUGAGUCGACCCCUAAGGCGAGGCCGAAAGGCGUAGUCGAUGGGAAACGGGUUAAUAUUCCCGUACUUGGUGUUACUGCGAAGGGGGGACGGAGAAGGCUAUGUUGGCCGGGCGACGGUUGUCCCGGUUUAAGCGUGUAGGUGUGUGUUCCAGGUAAAUCCGGUUCACUUUAACACUGAGGCGUGACGACGAGGCACUACGGUGCUGAAGCAACAAAUGCCCUGCUUCCAGGAAAAGCCUCUAAGCAUCAGGUAACAUCAAAUCGUACCCCAAACCGACACAGGUGGUCAGGUAGAGAAUACCAAGGCGCUUGAGAGAACUCGGGUGAAGGAACUAGGCAAAAUGGUGCCGUAACUUCGGGAGAAGGCACGCUGACACGUAGGUGAAGUGAUUUACUCAUGGAGCUGAAGUCAGUCGAAGAUACCAGCUGGCUGCAACUGUUUAUUAAAAACACAGCACUGUGCAAACACGAAAGUGGACGUAUACGGUGUGACGCCUGCCCGGUGCCGGAAGGUUAAUUGAUGGGGUCAGCGCAAGCGAAGCUCCUGAUCGAAGCCCCGGUAAACGGCGGCCGUAACUAUAACGGUCCUAAGGUAGCGAAAUUCCUUGUCGGGUAAGUUCCGACCUGCACGAAUGGCGUAAUGAUGGCCAGGCUGUCUCCACCCGAGACUCAGUGAAAUUGAACUCGCUGUGAAGAUGCAGUGUACCCGCGGCAAGACGGAAAGACCCCGUGAACCUUUACUAUAGCUUGACACUGAACAUUGAGCCUUGAUGUGUAGGAUAGGUGGGAGGCUUUGAAGUGUGGACGCCAGUCUGCAUGGAGCCGACCUUGAAAUACCACCCUUUAAUGUUUGAUGUUCUAACGUGGACCCGUAAUCCGGGUUGCGGACAGUGUCUGGUGGGUAGUUUGACUGGGGCGGUCUCCUCCUAAAGAGUAACGGAGGAGCACGAAGGUUGGCUAAUCCUGGUCGGACAUCAGGAGGUUAGUGCAAUGGCAUAAGCCAGCUUGACUGCGAGCGUGACGGCGCGAGCAGGUGCGAAAGCAGGUCAUAGUGAUCCGGUGGUUCUGAAUGGAAGGGCCAUCGCUCAACGGAUAAAAGGUACUCCGGGGAUAACAGGCUGAUACCGCCCAAGAGUUCAUAUCGACGGCGGUGUUUGGCACCUCGAUGUCGGCUCAUCACAUCCUGGGGCUGAAGUAGGUCCCAAGGGUAUGGCUGUUCGCCAUUUAAAGUGGUACGCGAGCUGGGUUUAGAACGUCGUGAGACAGUUCGGUCCCUAUCUGCCGUGGGCGCUGGAGAACUGAGGGGGGCUGCUCCUAGUACGAGAGGACCGGAGUGGACGCAUCACUGGUGUUCGGGUUGUCAUGCCAAUGGCACUGCCCGGUAGCUAAAUGCGGAAGAGAUAAGUGCUGAAAGCAUCUAAGCACGAAACUUGCCCCGAGAUGAGUUCUCCCUGAGACUUAGAGUCUCCUGAAGGAACGUUGAAGACGACGACGUUGAUAGGCCGGGUGUGUAAGCGCAGCGAUGCGUUGAGCUAACCGGUACUAAUGAACCGUGAGGCUUAACCUU